UACGUAGGAUGCAAGCGUUGUCCGGAUUUACUGGGCGUAAAGCGCGCGCAGGCGGCACUCUAAGUACGUCGUGAAAUAUCCCGGCUCAACCGGGAGGGUGCGAUGUAGACUAGGGAGCUAGAGGUCGGUAGAGGGGGGUGGAAUUGCUGGUGUAGCGGUGAAAUGCGUAGAGAUCAGCAGGAACACCCGUGGCGAAGGCGGCCCCCUGGGCCGUACCUGACGCUGAGGCGCGAAGGCUAGGGGAGCGAGCGGG
rnacentral:rRNA from 1 species